rnacentral:tRNA from 1 species
ACCUUCGUGGUGUAAUGGUUCAGCACACUCGGCCCGUAUUCGAGUGGUCCGAGGUUCGAGUCCCGGGGAGGGCA